UAAUGUGUCUUGGCUAAGGUGUCUUGGCUAAGGUGUCGUGGCUAAUGUGUCUUGGCUAAUGUGUCUUGGCUAAUGUGUCUUGGCUAAUGUGUCUUGGCUAAUGUGUCUUGGCUAAUGUGUCCUGGCUAAGGUGUCUUGGCUAAUGUGUCUUGGCUAAUGUGUCUUGGCUAAAGGUCCAUUUAGUGAUCGAGUGAAAGUGAACGUGAAAUCGCUCUGUGAAAUUCUGGCAGAUGGAGAUUGACAUUUCAAAUCAAGCGAAAUCAUUCAGUUAACACAAACAACGUAAACAUAGCAAAAGUUUAUUUCAAUCGUUGGUGAUACAAUUGAUGGAUAAUGGAAAUUACAGACUUUUUAAUACUGUGUUGGAACAUUUGCCACACAACGAAUAAAGAACGUUAAACAAAUUGAAUGAAAAAAUUCUUAUAUUUUCAUUAU